ensembl:lncRNA
GGGGUGCUGUGUGUGUAUACAGUGUACAGAUUAUCGCUUGCUUCUCUGCCUUUAGCAUAGGACACCACAAAAAAAAGACAAAAAACACAGAAGUUCAACACAGCCAUACAACAACUAUAAAAAAAAAAAAAUGUUUUUUAUAACUAUUUUAACCCAGGACAAACUUGGAGCAAGCCAAAUAUUUCUCACCUUUUCAAUUGGAUUUCAGAAUUCUACCAGCUCUUAUCUUCACGGGGGCGACGACCUGUUGGUCCCCGUGCGCCUCACAGCCCACUCGAAACAUAAAUAAAUUUACGAUGAUGUCACUUAACGGGGUGCCGAUGUAGAAACGGGAAGGGAGUCAUUGUGAAUGUAUCGCCGUGGAAGUUCUGAGGAUGUGACUGCUGGUGUUCCAGACGUACCCUGCUUGUCUCAGCGUUUAGGUGAAGGACAUUGUCCCACAGGCGCCCCACUGCAUUAAUAUUGCGGUUGUCAUCACUGCAGAUGUCCCUGCAGUUGUCCUGGUUUGGGCCCAAAGGAGAUCUUUGGUCUUUUCUUUUGUUGAUAAAUGCUGUUUUGAUUGUAUCAUUCAGUUGUGCAGAACAAGCCUUUUUGAGCCAUCUUAAAGAAUGAUUCACAGCCCUCUGCAAAUUUCCAAAGAUUGUCAAGAUUUUGAAAAGAUUUAAAGCCAUGUGGUAGCAAUGCAUUUUUUAGCAUUUAUAAUGAGGACAGGAGCAAAUCCAUGAAUUUGCCCACUACAAAUAUCCAGGCUUUUGACCCACUAAACAAAAACUAUUUUUUUUUUCCUCUUAACUUUAAACGCCCUUUUGUAUUGUCUGCCAAUUUCUUAGAGCUAAGAUGCAACCUUGAAAUGCUAAAAACCCUAUAGCAUAAUGCCUUAGAUUUUGUCUGUUCUCGUUCUUGUACAUUACACCGCUGUCUGUAUAAAUUUGUAUAAUGACUUGUGUACAAUAUUGAAUGAGUGCAUCAUCUCUCAACGCUUGGCAGUUUGCUGGAGACUCGGUCCCAGUUGAACUGUCCGUCGCCAUUGCUCUCUGUUCUGUGUUGGGUUGAAGACUCUGUUAUUUAACCCCCCCCCCCACUGUUUGUAUGGAAGGAAUGAUGCACAGGGAUGUUGAAGCAAUAUGUAAUAUACUAAAUGGACUUUCUGAGGAAAGCUUACUGUUGUUUUCCCCUGCUCAGAUAUUUUUUUCUGCAUUUUUCACAAGAAUCUCACUGUAUACCUGCAUUCACCUUUGAACCCCUCGUGUGUGUGUGUGUGUGUGUGUGUGUGUGUGUGUGUGAGCGUUUUAUGCAAAAUUAGAUAUACAAGAGAAGUUAAAACCACAGUUAUGCAAGUUGUGAACUAAUAUGGCUUCGCUGAUGCUAUUUGCCUUGUAAAUAAAGAAUUCUGUUAUUGCAGUAUUUAAUUGAGUGUCUUAUUUCAUGUGAUUAAAAGUUACAAAAAAUG